CCUUCCCAUGUGACUGUCCUGAUGAGGAAGUAGCUGAAGCUGUCAAAACCUAGUAAGCUCCCUACCUAGACAGCAGUUAGGGUAUUCUAGUCAGCGGACUCGGAAAGCUCUUACGACUCCGUAAUAUGCUGCCUAGAAUGUAGCUGCAAGCAUCACAUCUGUAUCAGGACAUAUCUCUUGAGUCUUGAAUUCAAAGCCUUUUCAGAAAAGGAAAGAAGCACAUUGAGAUUAGGAAUCUCUUUUACAAGAGCGCUCUGGCCAAGACUGACAGACACAGCACGUUUGAGUAUAACAAAUAACAUCCAACAAUACAUACACAUAUACACACACAAGCAUAUCCAUUAAAUUUCAAUAUCAAUACAUAACUAGCUAAAACAUCUACAACCCGAUGAUUCAUUCUCCAAAGCAUUUGAAACUACUUUAAAAGUGUCCAACAAAACCACUUCCCUCAGUUUCAAUGUACUUUGCAAACAAUUCCAGGCAGAGGGGGCAGCAUAUUUAAAUGUCUUUUUCCCCAAUUCAGUACGUGCCACUGGAGCACACAGUAAAUAUAUAUCCUGUGACCGGAGGCUAUAGCUACAAGCAUACUUUUUAA